AGAAUCAACGCUGGCGGCGUGCCUAACACAUGCAAGUCGAACGCGAAAGUGGAGCAAUCCAUUAGUAGAGUGGCAAACGGGUGAGUAACACGUGGGCGACCUACCUCAGAGUGGGGGGAUAACCUUCCGAAAGGAGGGCUAAUACCGCAUGACAUCCCGUGUUUGGAUACACGGAGAUCAAAGCCGGGGAUCGCAAGACCUGGCGCUUGGAGAGGGCCCGCGUCCGAUUAGCUAGUGGUGAGGUAACGGCUCACCAAGGCUCCGAUCGGUA
rnacentral:rRNA from 1 species